UUCAGAAGGUCAAGCGCACUGCAGCUCUACCUUUAUUUUUACUUUUUGUUCCGACUCACUGCCAAAAUAGAAGAUUAAGAUUUUUAAAACUAAAGGACAUUAAGGAGGACUUUUACAAGAAAGUGACUGAGAUUUUCGUGGGGAUGGAUCGGCGCAUGGACUUCAUUUACAAAUAAAGAAGUUUCAUAUGCAAAUAGCCCACCUCAGAAUGAAGCGGUCCUUUUAUCAAGCAAUGCUCUCUACACGUAGACAACAAAAACCCAAUAAAGCGGCGAUGACGACUUUCCAUCAGUAAGCUUACCUUCUCUGCUGCUCUUCUCUAUUCAGAGCCCUAAGGCGUCCAGUGGUCCUGCGGCUACAUAAAGAAGUGAAUGGAGUGAAACAGGAAGGAUGGAUUGUGCCAAAAAGUUGAGACGUCAGAGACGACAGAUGUCGUUAGCCCUCAGAAUUGAAAUCGCCGAGAGCUCCGCUGGGUGCCGGCGACAAAGACGAUCCCCUUUUAAACUGCGUAGGCCCAGCACACCACAGUGGCCUUCACAGAGUCCUAGAAGAUGUGAAGGACAUCACUUCCCACAUCAAAGGAGCUCAGUGUCCUAACGAAGAGGAGUCUCCUCUGCCCUUUCUUCUAUACUUCCUCUAUGGUCUGAGACCAGACCAACCUGUCAUUAAUGCGGACCACCUCUACAUGUACUCCCUGAACAAUGACCUGACAUGGAGGCUCUUUGGUGGGGUGAAAAUCAAUAAGCAGUUCCUUGGUUGUGCUGAUGUUCAGUUGCAGACAAUUCUCAACGUUCUCACCCUGACUCUUCUCCUCCGUCUCAUCCCCCUUAUCAAUAAAUGACUGCAGAAUCAUCUGUGAAUUUCUGAA